rnacentral:rRNA from 1 species
GUACACGCUGUGACUAGCAUAUCAAUAAGCGGAGGAAAAGAAACUAACAAGAAUUCCCCUAGUAACGGCGAGUGAAGCGGGAAGAGCUCAAAUUUGAAAUCUUAAAGGGUUUCCCUUUACGAAUUGUAGUUUAAAGAAGUGUUUUCUGUUGAGGUUUUGGUAAAAGUUCUUUGGAAUAGGACAUCAUAGAGGGUGAGAAUCCCGUAUUUGACCUUUACUUUCAACUUUGUGAUACACUUUCAAAGAGUCGGAUUGUUUGGGAAUGCAGUCCCAAAUGGGUGGUAAAUUUCAUCUAAAGCUAAAUAUUGGCGAGAGACCGAUAGCGAACAAGUACCGUGAGGGAAAGAUGAAAAGAACUUUGAAAAGAGAUGUUAAACAGUACGUGAAAUUGUCAAAAGGGAAGCGUUUGACACCAGUGUUGUUUUUCUGAAAAUCAAUUAAAGAACUGUUUAUGCUAAGCUGUUUAGACUUUAUCAGCUAUCUGUUUAGUUUUGAGCUUUUCUUUAAUGCACUUUUCAGUUAACAAGUCAACAUCAAUUUCUUUUGCUGUAAAAAAGCUUGAGGAAGGUGGCUUGAGAUUCGUCUUAAGUGUUUAUAGCCUCUUGCCUAUGCAGUCGGAGAGAUUGAGGUCUGCAGCGUAGAUCCUUCGGGGCUAAAUGCAGUUUGUGCUAAGUUAUAGCAUUUUAUAGACAACUUGUUGACUAUGAUUUGUCUUGUAGCUUACUCGCUUAUGUUAUUUUACCUACGCUUAGGAUGUUGAGUCGUAGAGCACGCAG